rnacentral:rRNA from 1 species
UGGGGAAUAUUGGACAAUGGGGGCAACCCUGAUCCAGCCAUGCCGCGUGAGUGAUGAAGGCCUUCGGGUUGUAAAGCUCUUUUGGCGGGGACGAUGAUGACGGUACCCGCAGAAUAAGCCCCGGCUAACUUCGUGCCAGCAGCCGCGGUAAGACGAAGGGGGCUAGCGUUGUUCGGAAUUACUGGGCGUAAAGCGAGUGUAGGCGGUUGCCGUAGUCAGGUGUGAAAGCCUUGAGCUCAACUCAAGAAAUGCACUUGAUACUGGGCGACUAGAGGACCGGAGAGGAUAGUGGAAUUCCCAGUGUAGUGGUGAAAUACGUAGAGAUUGGGAAGAACACCAGUGGCGAAGGCGGCUAUCUGGACGGUUACUGACGCUAAGACUCGAAAGCGUGGGGAGCAAACA